rnacentral:rRNA from 1 species
GUCUAUGGGCAUACCAACCUGAACACACCAGGUUGGAAGUUAAGCAGGGUCAGGCCUGGUUACUACUUGGAUGAGAGACUUCUCAGAGACU